UACGUAGGGGGCAAGCGUUGUCCGGAAUUAUUGGGCGUAAAGAGCGUGUAGGCGGUCCGGUAAGUCAGCUGUGAAAGUCAAGGGCUCAACCCUUGAAUGCCGGUUGAUACUGUCGGGCUAGAGUCCGGAAGAGGCGAGUGGAAUUCCCGGUGUAGCGGUGAAAUGCGCAGAUAUCGGGAGGAACACCAAUGGCGAAGGCAGCCAACUGGACGAAUACUGACGCUGAGACACGAAAGCGUGGGGAGCAAACAGG
rnacentral:rRNA from 1 species